rnacentral:rRNA from 1 species
GACGAACGCUGGCGGCGUGCUUAACACAUGCAAGUCGAACGGUGAAGCGUCUUCCUCUUUGGAGGGUGUGGAUGAGUGGCGCACGGGUGAGUAACACGUGAGUAACCUGCCUCCUUCUUCUGGAUAACCGCAUGAACGUGUGGCUAAUACGGGAUAAUCUGGGUCUGUCGCAUGAUGGGUCUGGGAAAGCUAUUGUUUCGGUGUGGGCUGGGCUCGCGGUCUAUCAGCUUGUUGGUUGGGUGCUGACCUACCCUGCGGUUGAGGUGUGGCCGGCCUGUGAGGGUGGACGGUCACACAGGGACUGUGACACGGCCGAGCGUCCUACGGGAGACGGCAGUGUGGAAUAUUUUACAAUGUGCGCAAGCCUCUGGCAGCGACGCCGCGUGUGGAAUGUAGGCGUGCGCGUUGUGGUCCUCUUUCGCUAUUGAAGCAGGCCUGUCUCGUGUGUUGGUGAGUUGACGGUAGCUGGGUAAGAAGCGCCGGCUAACUACGUG